GCCUGAGUGGUGGAAUUGGUAGACGCACCAGACUCAAAAUCUGGAAUUCUUUGGAGUGUGCGGGUUCAAGUCCCGCCUCAGGCACCA
rnacentral:tRNA from 1 species